AGAUUGAACGCUGGCGGCAGGCCUAACACAUGCAAGUCGAGCGGCAGCACGGGUACUUGUAUCUGGUGGCGAGCGGCGGACGGGUGAGUAAUGCCUAGGAAUCUGCCUGGUAGUGGGGGAUAACGCUCGGAAACGGACGCUAAUACCGCAUACGUCCUAUGGGAGAAAGCAGGGGACCUUCGGGCCUUGCGCUAUCAGAUGAGCCUAGGUCGGAUUAGCUAGUUGGUGGGGUAAUGGCUCACCAAGGCGACGAUCCGUAACUGGUCUGAGAGGAUGAUCAGUCACACUGGAACUGAGACACGGUCCAGACUCCUACGGGAGGCAGCAGUGGGGAAUAUUGGACAAUGGGCGAAAGCCUGAUCCAGCCAUGCCGCGUGUGUGAAGAAGGUCUUCGGAUUGUAAAGCACUUUAAGUUGGAGGAAGGCAGUUACCUAAUACGUAUCUGUUUGACGUUACGACAGAAUAAGCACCGGCUAACUCUGUCG
rnacentral:rRNA from 1 species